CUGAGGCGGGUGUGCUUGGAGAAGGGGUGCCAUGGCUCUCCUCCCACCACUUCAAGUCACAUGAGGGGCCCCCAGGGAAUGACUGGGAGAGAUGCAGCACCUGCCUGGGGAAGGGGCAUGGGGGAGGACCCCACACCCUGGCUACCUGUUGAGUGGUUGUGGAAACACACAGGCCCUUCCUAUCUGGAGCUUGCCAUGGACCCCACAAGUUUGACACAUACAUGGAUUUAGAGACUGGUGCCUGCUUAUUGCCAGAAGCUUGAAGGUGGCAGGUUAGCCAAGCAGCCUGAGAUGGCCAGGAAGUGGGAAUAGCCUGCACCCACCUUUUAUAGUGAAAAGGAUGACGGGAAACUCCAGAGAAAGUGGCCUGUGGACCUCUUGAAGAUACAGAAAUUGCUACAGCCACCCCAGCCUUCAGGAACCACCACCCUGAUCAGUCAGCAGCCACCAACACCAAGGCAGAACCCUCCACCAGCAAAAAGAUGAUGACUCACUGAACGUUCAGAUGAUUGUUAGCAUUUUUUUGCAAUAAAGAUUUUUUAAUUUAAA